GAUGAACGCUGGCGGCGUGCUUAACACAUGCAAGUCGAACGAGAAGUGGAGACGGAAACCUUCGGGCGGAAGACUUUGUUUCGAGUGGCGGACGGGUGAGUAACGCGUGGGUAACCUGCCUCAUACAGGGGGAUAACAGUUGGAAACGACUGUUAAUACCGCAUAAGACCACAGCACCGCAUGGUGCGGGGGUAAAAACUCCGGUGGUAUGAGAUGGACCCGCGUUCGAUUAGCCAGUUGGCGGGGUAACGGCCCACCAAAGCGACGAUCGAUAGCCGAUCUGAGAGGAUGACCGGCCACAUUGGGACUGAGACACGGCCCAAACUCCUACGGGAGGCAGCAGUGGGGAAUAUUGCACAAUGGGGGAAACCCUGAUGCAGCGACGCCGCGUGAGUGAAGAAGUAUUUCGGUAUGUAAAGCUCUAUCAGCAGGGAAGAAAAUGACGGUACCUGAGUAAGAAGCCCCGGCUAACUACGUG
rnacentral:rRNA from 1 species